UUUAGACUUAAGAGCUAUUCAAAUAAGGCACAGCUUAUUUGAAAUAGGACACAACCUACAACAUAGGGUAAACUAGAGUGACCUAAAUAAAGUGGGCCUAAAAGCAGCCACCUUUAGAAAAGCGUUAAAGCUUAACUACCUUCACUCAUAAUGCCUAAAAUCUCCACUAACCCUUCAUUACUACUGAACAAUUUUAUACUCAUAUAAAAGCUAUCAUGCUAGAACUAGUAACAAGAAACUGCUUUUCUCCUAAAUGUAAACAUAAACCAAAAUAGACUCUCUAUUGGUUAUUAACGUAAAUGCUAAACUGUAGCAACACUCACUAGAAAAUCCUAUAAACCCCAACGUUAACCUUACACCAGAACAUUACAGGAAAGAUUAAAAGAAAAAGAAGGAACUCGGCAAAUUUUAGCCUCGCCUGUUUACCAAAAACAUCGCCUCUUGACAAAACAUAAGAGGUCCAGCCUGCCCAGUGACAAAGUUCAACGGCCGCGGUACCCUAACCGUGCAAAGGUAGCACAAUCACUUGUUCUUUAAAUGAGGACUCGUAUCAACGGCACUACGAGGGCUAUACUGUCUCCUUUUUCUAAUCAGUGAAACUGAUCUCCCCGUGAAGAAGCGGGGAUUAUAAUAUAAGACGAGAAGACCCCAUGGAGCUUUAAACUCACCAUGCACCUCUGUGCUCCUAUACCCCUAAACACAACAGACCUGCAUGUUAGUUUUAGGUUGGGGUGACCACGGAGUAUAACUUAACCUCCACAGCAAACGGGCUAAUACCCUUAUCCACGAGACACAACUCUAAGAAUUACUAAACUAAUGCUUACGACCCGAUAUUCGAUCCAUGAACCAAGUUACCCUGGGGAUAACAGCGCAAUCUACUUCAAGAGCCCAUAUCGACAAGUAGGUUUACGACCUCGAUGUUGGAUCAGGGUAUCCCGGUGGUGCAGCCG
rnacentral:rRNA from 1 species